rnacentral:lncRNA from 1 species
UGGGUUUAAUAUUUUAACAGCUCCAUAAUCUUGGAGUACAAGAAAGGUCCAUUCCAUCUAGACUUUAGCUUCCUAAGAAAUAAAUAAAGCCUUGAAUUUAACAGAUAAACUUGCUGAUUUGGGACAAAAAAAUUUCCUAUUCAUGUACUUUUCAUGAAAUAUUUUCAUUCCUUAUUUCAUCUAGUUCUAUCAUUUUUUAUUCAACAGC